UACGGGGGGAGCAAGCGUUGUUCGGAUUUACUGGGCGUAAAGGGCGCGUAGGCGGCCACCGCAAGUCGGUUGUGAAAUCUCUGGGCUUAACCCAGAAAGGUCAACCGAUACUGCGGGGCUAGAGUGCAGAAGGGGCAACUGGAAUUCUCGGUGUAGCGGUGAAAUGCGUAGAUGUCGAGAGGAACACCUGCGGCGAAGGCGGGUUGCUGGGCUGACACUGACGCUGAAGCGCGAAAGCUAGGGGAGCGAACGGG
rnacentral:rRNA from 1 species